UUACAUUUUGCAGGCUAAGUUUAUUUUAAGCUUGAGGUAUUCUAAGCAAAUGUAUUUUUUCUAAGCAAUUUGUCACCAUAAAUAACAGAGGUGCAAAAAAAAAUGUACAGUAGCUUAACUAUGGCGUGUGAAUUUGCUUACUGUUCCUGGCCCUUAUGAAACAGGGCACUUCUCUGUUUCUCAGCUCACUGUUGCAAAAUUGAGGGUGCUUUUCACACUCUUAUGAUUAAGUUUCACAACUUACCUUACAUGUAUAUUAUUUGUAGAAAUAGAAACAGCCAUGCAGACAAACAUUUUUCUCUUGCAACUGUUGUUAACCUGGAUGAUCAAUGCAAUCUUAAAAAGUAAGUAGCGGUGCUCUGGUUUAGUCACAAAUAUUCCCUUUCUUUUUAUUUAAAGAAUUCAAGGUCUACUUUCCCCAUAUGGUCUUCCUGUAGAUUUCUGGACUGCCAUAAGUUGAUGGUGGCUGGAAUUUCUGAGAAAAGCAGUCUUGAGACAUAGGAAGCUGCCUACUUACUGUAUUUUUGGAAAACUGUUGUUGAGUUCUAAAAUUACUCCAGAAAUAUAUUAUUUCAGGAUGUGUAAAUAUAAGAUUCCACUUCAGUGUAGGUUUUCAAAAUUUCAAUCAAGAGUUGAUCUAUAAAUUUAGUCUGAAUAGCUGAAUCCCCUUUGAAUUAUAGCAUUAAAUUGUCCUAGAAAGCACCAGAAUCUCAUCAAAUUUCUGAACUGCUUUUGAAUCUCUAUGAAGGCAUAUGAUGAGAUACAAUUUAUUCAGUGCCCUGAAUCAAUUCACAGAAUUAAUUUAUGGAGCUGAUUCAACUGAAUCUCCUUCAAAUUGAAUUAUCUCUUCAAAGUUUUGAGCAUCCCAAUUCCAUAUUCUGAAAUUCUAGUCCAGCCUCAUCUGUUAUAUGCUGAGUAUAAGAACAUUAUUUUUCAUGCAAGAACAUUCAAUUGCAUGUAUUCCAAAUUGUACCAUAAUCUGCAGAAAAAGAAGACAAUUCCACGGGUAAAACGUGUUUAGCAUUGGAGUGGGUAGUAAUGAGAAAUUCACAUCACACUUUAAGUAAGUGCUAGAUGGCACCACUCAAAUCAUCUUGUUAAUCUUAAGAACCUUAUAAAACACAUUAAAAUGUGAUUGCAGCACAGUGGAUUUUUUUUUAUAACAACAUGGUCUUCCCAGACACUCUCAUAAUUUAUUCUAAAUCCCUUUGCUAAAAUGGAGUGCUUCAUCUAUUAACAUUCCUAGGUUGAGACAAAGAUGGCCCUAAUGUCUGUUUUUUAAAAGAUAUCCAAUAAAGAGAAAGUUUUGCACAGAAUUUCCCCUUUGUGUGUUGUCAUUUCUCAACUGGACACAAAUUAUGCUGCUUUCAUUCUCUAUGCUAAGAUUUCAUUCCUUAGCAUCUGGCAGGCACAUGGAAUUUGGUAGCUUUUUAGGUUUAAAUAUUGCAUUAUAAAAUCAUCUACUUUAGCUUUAGAUUAUUUCCAUGAAAUAGUAAUGAAAUUCUUUUUUUCUCCAGUUUCUAAUUAUUGGAAAAUUAAAAUGUAUUUAUUAAUAUACUGGUAAAUAUAUCACGUUAUAUUGCAUUGUGCAUCUGACAGAACUCACAGUGCACAUUUAGAGCAUAGUAAUGCAUUGCCUGUUUGCUGUAUUUAUUUAAAACUAUUUUACAUAUUCAAUUUCUAUAGCUGCCCAUCUCAAUCAAUGACUUUUCACUGUUAGCAAGUUUUUGUUACUUGCUUUUAAGAAUGUUAUAUGAAAUGUGAACAUUCAGACCUUACUAUGUACAGGAAAGGUUUCAAUGAUGAACGGAUACUGAGUUCCUUAUUUAUUCUUUUUAUCAAGGGCAUAGAGUCUCUUUUCAUGUAACAAUUUCCAGAGGGGAAACCUGUUAUUCGUUAGAGCAGAAAUAGCCAUUGUGAAGAAACUAGAGUCCCUUCUGAAAUGUUUCCCACAUCAACUUCUUUCUAACCACUCAGUGAGCUAAGAUACUUUUUGCACACUGGUUUUCCUGACUAUGGUUCUCCCUCCUGUCUCCCAAGGUGAUUCCCAUUAUUUCACCUGGAUCAGCAAAAGUAAAUGAAGCUUGCUAAAUAUGUGCCUUGCCAAGAAAUAAGGCACAACACUAAUGUUCUUGCCAAUAAAUAAGGCACAACACUAAAGUGCAAAGGAACAGCACAAUCUAACAGAACAGUCUGAAAUUGCACAUAAUUCUUUCCUUCACCUCCCAAAGAAUAAUAAACGCUUUUGGAAGAAGACUGAAAAUUCCAGGAAAGCAGGAAAUCAAACAGACAGCACGCCAUCAUCUUCUACCAAAUGUCCUCUGGGCUCUUUCCUUCAUUUGCAAAUGUUGGACAAGGAAAGCUUUCCAAGGAAAGCUCCAAAACACGGCACGAUGGAAGCUUUUUUAAGUGCUUGCAGUCAUCUAUAGCAUCUUCAAUACUUGGAAAGUGGAAAGGAUUUCCAGAGAAUUCUAAAAUGAGUGUUGCUCUCCUCCAAGCAUCCUACAGCAUUGGCAAAAGCCAAAAUGGUGACUUUUUUCACCCUUAGAAUUGCCAAAGGAAAAUGAGCAGGAUUUGGGGAAGCAGAGCAAAGAGAAGCACUGUAAAGCAUCAAGACUAUUUCUCUUUAUUCUUAAAGGUCAGCAAGCUGUGUUGCUUCCUGAAGAAGCUUUGAGGGAUGAUUCACACAAACUUUGCGACCUCCUUCAGGUGUUAUUAUUAUUUCAGGCCUAAUGAAACCACAGUCUAUGCUAUUUUGAACAAAAUAAAGAGAAAAGAAGAAGAAUUAAAGAAAUAUGCAGAGAAGGUCUGAAGGACAAAUAUUUAAAAAAUCAUAUGUGCAUGAUAACUGCAGCAAGAUUAGUAUUCUUUCCAUCUGUGCACACAGAUGGAAAAAUUCGGCCUUGCUCACAAUGGAGAAACAAUUGGUGAAGAUGAUGGAACUUGCUGAGAUGGCUAAAUUGACUUCUUUGAUCAGAGAAAAGUCAAUAGUUGCAUACAUUGCUGACUGGAAAUUCCUUAUGGACUUUUUGUGUAAUACAGAAAAAAUGAACUUAAGAGUUAUGGUUUUGAUGAUUCCACAGGAUAGGUUAUAGAAAAGAGAGAGUUGUGUUGUAACCAUAGAAUAAAAAGUAAAGUUGUGAUUGUACAUAUGACUGCUGUAAAGAAGAUUGGAAACUACUUCUUUGCAGUUUUUUUUCUUUUCUAUUUUUCUUCCAGGUUGCUACAUCGAGUCUGCUGCAUUGAGCCAACUCUUCUAUGCUACAGGGCAGUAUUAAAGCAGAUAUAAACAAUGGGUUUCAGUUCAGAAGAGGACAUUCAUUCUCUAUCAUAUCCCGAGAGGGAAAUGAGAGAAAUAAUGAGAUGCAAUUUGAUGUGAUGAGAUUGGUGACACUACUU